AGUGAACGCUGGCGGUAGGCCUAACACAUGCAAGUCGAACGGCAGCACAGUAAGAGCUUGCUCUUACGGUUGGCGAGUGGCGGACGGGUGAGGAAUACAUCGGAAUCUACUUUUUCGUGGGGGAUAACGUAGGGAAACUUACGCUAAUACCGCAUACGACCUACGGGUGAAAGCAGGAGAUCUUCAGACCUUGCGCGAUUGAAUGAGCUGAUGUCGGAUUAGCUAGUUGGCGGGGUAAAGGCCCACCAAGGCGACGAUCCGUAGCUGGUCUGAGAGGAUGAUCAGCCACACUGGAACUGAGACACGGUCCAGACUCCUACGGGAGGCAGCAGUAGGGAAUAUUGGACAAUGGGCGAAAGCCUGAUGCAGCAAUGCCGCGUGGGUGAAGAAGGCCUUCGGAUUGUAAAGCCCUUUUGUUGGGAAAGAAAAGCAGCAGGUUAAUACCCCGCUGUUCUGACGGUACCCAAAGAAUAAGCACCGGCUAACUUCGUG
rnacentral:rRNA from 1 species